rnacentral:rRNA from 1 species
AUUGAACGCUGGCGGCAGGCCUAACACAUGCAAGUCGAGCGGAUGAAGGUAGCUUGCUACCUGAUUCAGCGGCGGACGGGUGAGUAAUGCCUAGGAAUCUGCCUGGUAGUGGGGGACAACGUUUCGAAAGGAACGCUAAUACCGCAUACGUCCUACGGGAGAAAGUGGGGGAUCUUCGGACCUCAAGCUAUCAGAUGAGCCUAGGUACGAUUAGCUAGUUGGUGGGGUAAAGGCUCACCAAGGCGACGAUCGUUAACUGGUCUGAGAGGAUGAUCAGUCACACUGGAACUGAGACACGGUCCAGACUCCUACGGGAGGCAGCAGUGGGGAAUAUUGGACAAUGGGCGAAAGACUGAUCCAGCCAUGCCGCGUGUGUGAAGAAGGUCUUCGGAUUGUAAAGCACUUUAAGUUGGGAGGAAGGGCAGUAAGUUAAUACCUUGCUGUUUUGACGUUACCGACAGAAUAAGCCCCGGCUAACUUCGUGCCAGCAGCCGCGGUAAAAC